rnacentral:ncRNA from 1 species
CCCCUUGCCGUGUCGGGGUCAUGACACGGCAUCCUCCCUGUUGGACUAGGCCGGGCCUCGCGCCCGGCCCUUUUU